rnacentral:rRNA from 1 species
AUUGAACGCUGGCGGCAGGCCUAACACAUGCAAGUCGAACGAGUGGCGGACGGGGGAGUAAUGUCUGGGAAACUGCCUGAUGGAGGGGGAUAACUACUGGAAACGGUAGCUAAUACCGCGUACCAUCGGAUGUGCCCAGAUGGGAUGAGCUAGUAGGGGGGGUAAAGGCUCACCUAGGCGACGAUCCCUAGCUGGCCUGAGAGGAUGACCAGCCACACUGGAACUGAGACACGGUCCAGACUCUUGAGGGAGGAAGCAGUGGGGAAUAUUGCACAAGGGGCGCAAGCCGGAUGCAGCCAUGCGGCGUGUAUGAAGAAGGCCUGAGGGUUGUAAAGUACUUUCAGCGGGGAGGCGUUACCCGAAGAAGAAGCACCGGCUAACUCCGUGCCAGCAGCCGCGGUAAUUC